AUUGAACGCUGGCGGCAGGCCUAACACAUGCAAGUCGAGCGGAUGAAGGGAGCUUGCUCCUGGAUUCAGCGGCGGACGGGUGAGUAAUGCCUAGGAAUCUGCCUGGUAGUGGGGGCUAACGUCCGGAAACGGGCGCUAAUACCGCAUACGUCCUGAGGGAGAAAGUGAGGGAUCUUCGGACCUCACGCUAUCUGAUGAGCCUAGGUCGGAUUAGCUAGUUGGUGGGGUAAAGGCCUACCAAGGCGACGAUCCGUAACUGGUCUGAGAGGAUGAUCAGUCACACUGGAACUGAGACACGGUCCAGACUCCUACGGGAGGCAGCAGUGGGGAAUAUUGGACAAUGGGCGAAAGCCUGAUCCAGCCAUGCCGCGUGUGUGAAGAAGGUCUUCGGAUUGUAAAGCACUUUAAGUUGGGAGGAAGGGCAGUAAGUUAAUACCUUGCUGUUUUGACGUUACCAACAGAAUAAGCACCGGCUAACUUCGUG
rnacentral:rRNA from 1 species